GACGAACGCUGGCGGCGUGGAUUAGGCAUGCAAGUCGAACGGUAUCAUCCUUUCGGGGGUGAGAGAGUGGCGAACUGGUGAGUAACACGUAGGUUAUCUACCCUCAAGACGGGGACAACCCAGGGAAACUUGGGCUAAUACCGGAUGUGAGCAACUUUUUAGUUGUUUGAAAGGUGGCGUAAGCUGUCGCUUGGGGAUGAGCCUGCGUCCUAUUAGUUAGUUGGUGAGGUAACGGCUCACCUAGGCAAUGAUAGGUAGGCGGCCUUAACGGGUGGUCGCCCACACUGGGAUUGAGAUACGGCCCAGACUCCUACGGGAGGCAGCAGUCGAGAAUAGUCUACAAUGGUCGGAAGACUGAUAGUGCGACGCCGCGUGAACGAUGAAUCCCUUCGGGGUGUAAAGUUCUUUUAUAUGUGAGCAGUGCUUCUUAUAUUUAACAGUAUGGGGAAGAGAUAUUAGCAUAUGAAUAAGCAAACGGCUAAACUCCGUGCCCAGCAGCCGACGGUU
rnacentral:rRNA from 1 species